rnacentral:rRNA from 1 species
UACGUAGGGACCAAGCGUUGUUCGGAUUUACUGGGCGUAAAGGGCGCGUAGGCGGCAAUUCAAGUCACUUGUGAAAUCUCCGAGCUUAACUCGGAACGGUCAAGUGAUACUGUCUUGCUAGAGUGCAGAAGGGGCAAUCGGAAUUCUUGGUGUAGCGGUGAAAUGCGUAGAUAUCAAGAGGAACACCUGAGGUGAAGACGGGUUGCUGGGCUGACACUGACGCUGAGGCGCGAAAGCGUGGGGAGCGAACAGG